AUCUUCUGGCAUCUAAGAAACCCUAGCAGACACUCCAAACCCUAAUUUACAAAACUAUUUUCCAUAUUUCUCAAAAACCCAAACUCCAAAUAUCAUAAAACUUAUGCACAAAGUUUACUAACAUGAAAUUACACAUUUCUUGAAAUUUUGAGCCAAAAUCUCACAAAAUUGCUCAAGAUAUAGCUCAAGGGACAAACAGUAGUAAAUCGGUUUACUUACUAUCCUUAGAUUGCAUGUGCUGACUUCAAAAUCCAAUAACUCCUUCACUCCAACUUGGAAUCCAAUAAGCAGUAUGCAAAAAGUAUAGCCGCAAAAGUUUUCUCUCUAGUC
rnacentral:lncRNA from 1 species